AAUUACACACGCGGGGGCUCUCACGAUCCGAGGGCUGAGAUGGCGACUGGCGGUCGUCGACCGCUCGAACCUGUCCGGGUAAUGCCGGCGUAGGGAGGAGAAGUCAUGGGCA
rfam:Gordonia malaquae NBRC 108250 DNA, contig: GM1069.